ensembl:lncRNA
GGUGUUGAGUAGGAAAUGGGGAGUGAGGUAUACUGGCGGUCGGCAGGUUAGGCGGGAGGCUCGCGACUGUGGGUUGGAGGUGAAUUGUCUGAAGAGAGCAGGUAAGCCCUUUAAGAAUAAUAAUGAGUACAACAGUAUACAUUUGCUCUGAAGCACAGCCGAAUGGACUCCUAAAGAGGCUUCCCAGGUGGCACUAGAGAUCCAGAUGGAGUUGCUUUUCCAACAGUUUAGUUCCGGUUUAAUCUGGUGAUGCUCUCCACCAUACUUUGCCUUCAUCUGGGAGGCAUCUGCCAGCAACUCAUUACUCCUGCUAACUACCCUGGCAGACAGGACAGAAGACCUCCAAAGAAAAGCAUUGCCUCUUUCUCAGAGGAGGGUAAGGUAUUUUGAGCAUGUCAUCUUUGGAGAAACAUCUAAGGAAGAUUAAGUCAGAAGCAUCUAUCAGACCCUAAAUUCUCUCUCCCAUAGGUUGCUAAGUCGUGUCUGACUCUUUGUGACCCCAUGGACUGUAGCACACCAGGCUUCCCUGUCCUUCACUAUCUCCCUGAGUUUGCUCAAACUCAUGUCCAUCAAGUCGGUGAUGCCAUCCAACCAUCUCAUCCUCUCCUUCUCCUCCUGCCCUCAAUCUUUCCCAGCAUCAGGGUCUUUUCCAGUGGCUGGCUUGUUAAAAAUGAGCAUCCUUGUUAAAAAUGCAUGUUUACAAAACAGUGCAGCAGUCAGGUUCCUUAGUGUUUACCCAAAGGAGUGGAAAACUUUUGUACACACAAAAACUGGCAGCCCAUGUUUAUAGCAGCUUUAUUCACAAUUGCCAAAAAUUGGGAGCAGCUAAGCUGUCUUUCAGUAGGUGAGUGUAUAAAUAAACUUAUAACCAAACAAUGAAAUAUUUUUCAGUGCUAAGAGGACAUGAGCUAUCAAGUCAUGAAACUACAUGGAGGACUUUUAAAUGCAUAUUACCAAAUGAAAGAAGCCAGCCUGAGAAGUCUGUAUACAUGUAAUUCUAACAGUAUGGCAUCCUGGAAAAAGCAAAAUUGUGAAGCUGAGCCGUUAAAAAAAAAAAAAUCAGUGACUACUAGAGAUCAGUGGGGUUAGAAAGAAAGGAAAGGAUAAAUAGAGACACAGGAUUUUUAGGACAGUGAAAAUACUCUCUCUGAUGCCAUAUGGCAGAUACAUGCCAUUAUUCAUUUGUCAUAACUCAUAGGAUGUAUGACCCCAAGAGGGAGCCUUAGUGUAAGUGAUGGACUUUGGGUGAUGGCGAUGUGUUUGUGUGGCUUUGUCACCUGUAACACGUACCACUCUGGUGGGGGAUGUUGAUAAUGGGGAAGACUGUAUAUGCGGGAGCAAGGCUAUGUGGGGAAAAAAUCUCUAUCAUUUGCUCAGUUUUGCUGUGAACCUAAAGUUGCUCUCUUAAGUUUAUUACAUUAAAAAAAAAAGUAUUAUACAUGACAUAUAAGUCCCCUUCAAGUUUUCUGUUACAUACAAUUUAAUGAAGUCUUACAGAAGACUCUCACCAAGGCCUUCUCCCUCUGGCAGCGUCUCUCGUUUCAAGGUCAAAACAUGAUGCCUCUUUCAAAUCUGGCGUUGUUAUUAAAAGAUUCAGUUCAGUUCAGUUCAGUUCAGUCACUCAGUCGUGUCCAACUCUUUGCGGCCCCAUGAAUUGCAGCAUGCCAGGCCUCCCUGUCCAUUACCAUCUCCCAGAGUUCACUCAGACUCACAUCCAUUGAGUCUGUGAUGCCAUCCAGCCAUCUCAUCCUCGGUCGUCCCCUUCUCCUCCUGCCCCCAAUCCCUCCCAGC